GUAUCGUUCUCGGCCUUUUGGCUAAGAUCAAGUGUAGUAUCUGUUCUUAUCAGUUUAUAUUGAUACGUCCCCCAUCGGGGGGGAUAUAACAUAUUAAAUGGAUUUUUUGAACAGGGAGUAGGAAGCGGGGCUUGCUCCGUCGCUCCACGCAUCGACUCGGUAUUGCAGUACAUCGAGAACGGUGCACCCUCU
rnacentral:snRNA from 1 species